UACGUAGGGUGCGAGCGUUAAUCGGAAUUACUGGGCGUAAAGCGUGCGCAGGCGGUUUUGUAAGCCAGAUGUGAAAUCCCCGGCUUAACCUGGGAAUGGCAUUUGGGACUGGCAAGGCUGGAGUGUGGCAGAGGAGACUGGAAUCCCGGUGUAGCAGUGAAAUGCGUAGAUAUCGUAAGGAAGACCAGUGGCGGAAGGCGGG
rnacentral:rRNA from 1 species